UACGUAGGGGGCCAGCGUUGUCCGGAAUCAUUGGGCGUAAAGAGCGCGUAGGCGGCCAGACAAGUCCGGUGUGAAAGUCACAGGCUCAACCUGUGAAUGCCGCUGGAAACUGUCUGGCUAGAGUCCGGAAGGGGCGAGUGGAAUUCCUGGUGUAGCGGUGAAAUGCGCAGUAUAUCAGGAGGAACACCAUGGCGAAGGCAGCUCGCU
rnacentral:rRNA from 1 species